rnacentral:lncRNA from 1 species
AGCUAGGGUCGUUCUUCCUCUCGAUCUUCAAGAGGUAAGCUUCGAUCUAUGCUUCUUUUAUGUUUUAUGAAAGUUUUAUGCAAGUUGAUGGGGUAGAAUGCAUGUUUAGGCUUGUUGUUAGGUUUAUGGAUUUAUGUUGUGAUUUGAACAAUGUAUGUUGGAAAUGAGUUGUUUGAAGUGUUGUAGUUGGGGUAUAUUAUAGUUUGAGACCCCUAGGUGUGAUGUAUGAUGUGUAUGCAUGUGUAGAAACAAGUUUAUGCAUGUUUUGAGGCGUUUUGGAGGCUGUGGACACA